GUGUCGCGCCGCGGUAAUACGUAGGUGGCAAGCGUUAUCCGGAAUUAUUGGGCGUAAAGCGCGCGUAGGCGGUUUUUUAAGUCUGAUGUGAAAGCCCACGGCUCAACCGUGGAGGGUCAUUGGAAACUGGAAAACUUGAGUGCAGAAGAGGAAAGUGGAAUUCCAUGUGUAGCGGUGAAAUGCGCAGAGAUAUGGAGGAACACCAGUGGCGAAGGCGACUUUCUGGUCUGUAACUGACGCUGAUGUGCGAAAGCGUGGGGAUCAAACAGGAUUAGAUACCCGCGUAGUCC
rnacentral:rRNA from 1 species